UCAUCCGUGCCGUCGUGCCGAUCCCGUUUAUUUUCGUUAAUUUUCAUUCAGUUGCUGCCGAUUUGGACUAUUCUCCUCUUCCGCGGUAAUCUUCUAAUCGCGAGUUGAGCUGUAGACGGCUGAAGUUUCCUGGUUUUAUGUCCGUGGAUGCAUUCCGAUCCACCAAGUCACCACCUUUGCUAGCCAGAAUCAUGCGACGUCUUCAACGGCUGGUGGAGGGACUCGUCUUCUCCAAUUGUUUAUCAGGAUUCGCCAUAUAUAAGGUCAUGAACACAAAUACCUACGACGAUUUCUAUCUGAAGCACGAUAUUCUUCGCAAGAAUCCUAUAAAAGAGCUUGUAGGUAUCCCAUCACCCAUGUCAAAAGCACAAUAGACUGCAGCGCGAUUAUAACAUCUCAGAUUUAGAGAAGAAGGCUCAAUCUAUCGAGUGGUCCUGUGUAGAGUGCAUCGCUUAGGAAAGGACCUAUCGUAUUAGCCAAUUGGUAUCAUGGAGUACAGGAAGAGAAGGAUAAGUUUCGAGCGGAGGGUAAAGAAAAUAUUUUCAGGAUUCAGGAUGAAAAUCGCAAGACGUUCAAGAAAUCAAGAAAACGGAGUCUAAGUACAAAAUUGAAAAUUUAUUCGCGAUAAAAAAACCCUUUCGCCAGGUUAUAAUUAAUGAAGUUAGGACAUGGUCGAAAAAGUAGUAGAUGAUGAAGGUCUGAAUAAAACAAUUACUGGGUCGAAUGAAUUGUCAGAAUAGCCGAAUGUAGGAUUAGCAUCCCUUUUUUCGACAGUUCAGAUACUCUGUUAAAUUACAUAUUUCAUUAGC